UGGAAAUAGCACGAUCAUUAUUGACUUGUUCGGGUUGUGAUGAAGAAGAACCCUACCUGCUUUAUUGCAUGCUCAGCAGUGGCAUAACUUCAUUGCACGCUUCCAACAAUGGAUGCCACUGAGGGCAAUGCGCGCAUACUCAAUUUGGUGCUUCUGCUUCCCCAUCAAAACGCACCUCCAUUCUCUAAUGUCUUUUGCGUUUUGAUUAUGGGACCGUUGAGGUUUCACCAGGAAUCCAGGACUUCUGCUGAUGCAAAAGGUUGACAGUUGAUGAGAAAAUCAGCAUGAAUUCCAGGGGGGCUAAUGACAGUUGUUUGACUUAUCUGAUUGGGAUGAGUAAUUGAGGCUAAGAAAGUGAAGAAAGCUCUUCAGCCGGAGUGGCUUAAGUCUCUUCUGAAAAGGACUUUCUUUGAAUCUUCCUGUGCAACUCAUCCUGUGCUUAAGAAUGAGUUAAACCAAUACUGUGUAACCUGUACUGAGCUAAUUUGCCAAAAUUGUGCAUCUGGACCCAAACAUGUUCUUCAUAAGGUGAUCACAAUCUACAAGCAUAGUUACAAAGCUGUUGUUCGCAUUGAUGCUAUGAGAGAGCAUAUUGACUGCUCACAAAUUCAGCCUUACAAAUCCAAUAAGCUUUCCGUUAUUGCUCUGGAGCCUCUUCCGCACCAUGGUUCUGUAAAAUGGAGAAGGGCAUCAUCAUGCAAGACCUGUAGGAGAAAGUUGGCCAACCCCAAUUUAUAUCGUUACUGCUCCAUAUCUUGCAAGGUCCAAGCUGUUUUAAAGAAGUCUGAUCAUUCAGUUCCUCCCUUCAUUUUGCUUAAGGAGGAUCAAAAGGAGGAAGCUGGAACCAGCAAGCGGGUAAAUAAGAGAAAGGGAACCCCUGCCAGAGCUCCCUUCUUCUAAAGGCCUCCGGUUAUGUAAUAAUGAAGGAAGCUGCUCUAUUUCUUAUGUAAAGAGAUUCUUUAACAUCUGAAUUUUCGUCUUUGGUGGCUUCUACCUUUUGAUUAUCAUAUGACUAUGCAUGAGGUUACUUCAAACUUUAUGACAUUCUGGCUAAGUUGCUGUUUGUGGUUUUAUGACAUUCUACUUUUUGUUGGGUGGAUUGCAGAUCCUCUGAUAUGUUUUUUGUGUGUUAG